AUCUGAGGUGUUGAAACGCGUAAUGGAAACAUGUAUGGUCACCCACUGAAGCUAAGCAGGGCUACGCCUAGUCAGUACCUGGAUGGGAGACCACAUGGUUGCUAGGUUGCUGCAGGUA
rnacentral:rRNA from 1 species